ACCCUGGACAUAUGUACUUCACCAACCUCCUUAGUCAAGAUCAUCAACUCAACCCCACUUAAGGUGGGCAAAGUGGAACCUCUCCGGGAAUAGAUCAAAAACACUCCCAAGUGAAGGAGGAUCCAAAGCGAAGGAAGACGAUGUCCCCGUCCCUGACCCCGACUCGAUGUUCGAGUGCUGCAGUAGAUUCAGUCUUUGAUCUUGAGGCGGAUAAUGUGAUGGAGAAUGAGGUGAUCAAAUUGGACCGACCAAUGGGAAGGAAAGUUGAGAAAGGAAAAUGAAAUGCCCAAGGCAGGCAGGCAGAGGAAAAUUUAGAACUCAGAAAGAUGAAAUAUACGCUUUUGGAGGAUUCACGCGCUCAAGAGAAAGAGUUUUAUCGUCUUAAGGCCAAGAAGAUGGAGUAUGACAAGGAAAAAGAGGAAAAAAAUUAUGUCUCAAGGAUAACAGACUGAGAUUGGAGGCCGAGAAGAUGAUAAUUGAUCGGGAAAAAAAGCUAAAUAAAAUCUGUCAAGAGAACGAAAGACUCAGGUUGGAGGCGCAGAAAGUAGAGCUUGAAUUGAAGGAAGCAGAUCAACGCAUUAUGAUGAUGGAUGUGAGUGCCAUGCCAGAAAUGCAGCGGUUAUAUUUGAGACGCAAUGCUACAGCAGAUUUGAAUUGAUUGAAUAUAUUUUUGAAAAAAGUUGUAUUUCUUAUUUUAUAUUUCGGACAAUGAUAGAUGAGUAAAAAGUAAUGUGAAUAUUUUUUUGUAUUUUUAUUGUGGUGUAAAUUGAUAUUUUUGUGUAAGAAAAUUGGCCAUUAUAAUUUCAGAAACAAUUACAAAUUACCUCAAA